rnacentral:rRNA from 1 species
CCCUUAGAUGUUCUGGGCCGCACGCGCGCUACACUGACUGCUCCAACAAGUUACCUGGGCUGACGAGCAUCCGGGAAAUCUUGCAAAGGCAGUCGUGAUGGGGAUAGAUUCUUGUAAUUUUUGAUCUUCAACGAGGAAUUCCUAGUAAACGCAAGUCAUCAGCUUGCAUUGAUUACGUCCCUGCCCUUUGUACACACCGCCCGUCGCAUCUACCGAUUGAAUGGAGAGGCAAAAUCUUCGGACCGUGACGCUUGGGAGUCAAAUCUCGGGCUGUCGUGGGAAGUGGAUUAAACCUUUCUAUUUAGAGGAAGGUAAAGUCGUAACA